rnacentral:rRNA from 1 species
UACGAAGGUCCCAAGCGUUAUCCGGAUUUAUUGGGUUUAAAGGGUGCGUAGGCGGCCUGUUAAGUCAGGGGUGAAAGACGGUAGCUCAACUAUCGCAGUGCCCUUGAUACUGAUGGGCUUGAAUGGACUAGAGGUAGGCGGAAUGAGACAAGUAGCGGUGAAAUGCAUAGAUAUGUCUCAGAACACCGAUUGCGAAGGCAGCUUACUAUGGUCUUAUUGACGCUGAGGCACGAAAGCGUGGGGAUCAAACAGG